AACGAACGCUGGUGGCAUGCCUAAUACAUGCAAGUCGAACGAGAAAGUUCUUCGGAAUGAGUACAGUGGCGCACGGGUGAGUAACGCGUAGGUGACAUGCCCUAAAGUGGGGGACAACCUCGGGAAACCGGGGCUAAUACCGCAUAAUCUAAGUGACCUUAAAAAAGCUUAGCAAAGGGGGCUUCGGCUCUCGCUAUAGGAUUGGCCUGCGUUGCAUUAGCUUGUUGGUGGGGUAAUGGCCUACCAAGGCUACGAUGCAUAACUGGUCUGAGAGGAUGAUCAGUCACACUGGAACUGAGACACGGUCCAGACUCCUACGGGAGGCAGCAGUAGGGAAUAUUGCGCAAUGGGGGAAACCCUGACGCAGCAAUGCCACGUGAGUGAGGAAGGCCUUCGGGUUGUAAAGCUCUGUCCUAUGGGAAGAAUGAUAUUUUGGCUAAUACCCAGAAUGUGUGACG
rnacentral:rRNA from 1 species